GGUCUUUUGUGUUUUAUAAAAGAUCUGGCCUGCCCAAUGAUGUUUUAAUGGCUGCAGUAUUUUGACUGUACAAAGGUAGCAUAAUCACUUGUCUCUUGAUUGGGGUCUGGUAUGAAUGGUUAGAUGAAAAAUUUACUUUCUUUUUUUUAAAAAAAUAAAUUGAUUUUUGAGUUAAAAAGCUUAGAUUUGAUUAUAGGACGAGAAGACCCUAUAGAACUUUAUUAUUUUGGGUUAGUGGUUUUGUUGAGAAUAAGUUUCUGCUAUUUCUAUAUAAUUUUGUUGGGGUGACAAAAAAAAUUUUAUAACUUUUUUUAUUUUUUUCAUUUAUUUAUGAAUUUUUGAUCUUCUUAUUAGGGAAAAAAGAUUAAGUUACCUUAGGGAUAACAGCGUUAUUAUUUUAGAGAGUUCAUAUUGAUAAAAUAGUUUGCGACCUCGAUGUUGGAUUAAAAUAAGUUGCAGGGGCAGAAUUUUGUUGUACUUGGUCUGUUCGACCAUUGAAUUUUUACAUGAUCUGAGUUCAAACCCGGAGA
rnacentral:rRNA from 1 species